rnacentral:rRNA from 1 species
GGGGAAUUUUGGACAAUGGGCGCAAGCCUGAUCCAGCAAUGCCGCGUGCAGGAAGAAGGCCUUCGGGUUGUAAACUGCUUUUGUACGGAACGAAACGGUCUGGGUUAAUACCUCGGGCUAAUGACGGUACCGUAAGAAUAAGCACCGGCUAACUACGUGCCAGCAGCCGCGGUAAUACGUAGGGUGCAAGCGUUAAUCGGAAUUACUGGGCGUAAAGCGUGCGCAGGCGGUUUUGUAAGACAGGCGUGAAAUCCCCGGGCUCAACCUGGGAAUUGCGCUUGUGACUGCAAAGCUGGAGUGCGGCAGAGGGGGAUGGAAUUCCGCGUGUAGCAGUGAAAUGUGUAGAGAUGUGGAGGAACACCGAUGGCGAAGGCAGCCCCCUGGGUUAACACUGACGCCCAUGCACGAAAGCGUGGGUAGCAAAC